rnacentral:misc_RNA from 1 species
GUGUUCAAAGUGCAUUAUCAUGCUAGGCUAAUUUAAUGUUGAUAUUUGUAAAUUUGUGGCAAAUUAUGCGUGCAUUGGUGAUGCAGAUACGAACUAAUGAGGCAGAUAGGGUGGAAGAUUAAACUAUCACUGGGCUAGGGCGCGAAUAGCCCUCACACAGCAGACGACAUCGACGUCAUCUAAAAACAAAAUCAAUCUUUAUUUCUACCCCUACAAUGGCCCGUCAAUUAGAGCAAAACGUUGAUAAAAAUAAUAAUUUGUUUUCUGGGAAGAAUCUGACCUCUUAAUUUUUAUGGAAUAUUUUUUUUCUUUCUUUCUUUCUCUUUUAUUUUCGCCUUGUUAUCACGAAGAGCCCGUAUGAGUGCAAGGGAACAAUUUUACACUGGAAUUUUGCCGAUGUUUUUAUUUGCCAUGAGAAUGUAUACUAUAUUGGAAUUUUUGCCAGUAUAAUAAAUAUUUUUUACAAAU